UCCCUUGUGGCUCAGCUGGUAAAGAAUCUGCCUUUGAUGCAGGAGACCUAGGUUCGAUCCCUGGGUUGGGAA
rnacentral:tRNA from 1 species